AUUUUUGCGAUUGAGUUGAGUUUACCCAACAUCAGGUCUAAACACUACGGUGUUCUUGAAAAUUGAGUCGGUGGUGUUCUUGAUGUUUCUUCCAUCUCAAUUCAAUUUCAGGGUUAUUACCUCUGAUUCCUAAUUUUACUAGUAUACCCAUUCUAAUUAAUGUAGAUUUCAUAGUUUAUAUACUAGCAUGGGCCUUCUAUUGGCACUUCUUUUAAUUCCAUUAUUUUUCAACACAUUUUUUUGAGAAACAAAUUUUAUAGGUGAUGCUAUUGCCAACUUAGGGCAUGAUCUUGUAAAUGGUUCAACUUGGAUCAAUAGGGUCCCUAGCGAGGCCUCAAGAGCUUUGCUCUUUGAUGUUGUAAAUUGCAUAUGCUCAAGAGGCUUCCAAAUAUAAUUUAUAGUCUUUUCGUAUCAA